CUGUGUAGAAGGUAUGAAGUUUUAGCCGCAUGUAAUUCGGUAAGUUUGUCCAUUAGAUUUUGGAUUUGUUGUGCAAGGUUUCGUGAAGGGGUGUGUUUAUUUUGGGCAGUUAAAGUUGCUAGUUGUUUUUGGCAGUCCAAUAUAGUCGCUUGCCUGUGCUUUUUAAGAUACGAGGAGUGUCUAAUAAAUAAGCCACGGACUACGGCUUUAU